GACAGAGGGUGCAAACGUUGUUCGGAUUUACUGGGCGUAAAGCGUGUGUAGGCGGAUCGUUAAGUGUCUUGUGAAAUCCCACGGCUCACCCGUGGAACUGCUGGGCAUACUGGCGAUCUUGGGCCAACUAGGGGCAACUGGAACAAGCGGUGGAGCGGUGAAAUGCGUAGAUAUCGCUUGGAACGCCAAAGGUGAAAACAGGUUGCUGGGGUUGUGCCGACGCUGAGACACGAAAGCCAGGGGAGCAAACGGG
rnacentral:rRNA from 1 species